rnacentral:rRNA from 1 species
GGGGAUUAGUGGCGAACGGGUGAGUAACACGUGGGCAAUCUGCCCUUCACUCUGGGACAAGCCCUGGAAACGGGGUCUAAUACCGGAUAACACUCCUGUCCUCCUGGACGGGGGUUAAAAGCUCCGGCGGUGAAGGAUGAGCCCGCGGCCUAUCAGCUUGUUGGUGAGGUAAUGGCUCACCAAGGCGACGACGGGUAGCCGGCCUGAGAGGGCGACCGGCCACACUGGGACUGAGACACGGCCCAGACUCCUACGGGAGGCAGCAGUGGGGAAUAUUGCACAAUGGGCGAAAGCCUGAUGCAGCGACGCCGCGUGAGGGAUGACGGCCUUCGGGUUGUAAACCUCUUUCAGCAGGGAAGAAGCGAAAGUGACGGUACCUGCAGAAGAAGCGCCGGCUAACUACGUGCCAGCAGCCGCGGU